rnacentral:lncRNA from 1 species
AGCCACCACAAAUAUAUGUGCCGUCUAAGAUGGAUCCUUAGAAGAAGAUGAGGAUGGGGAUAUAUGUUGGAUAUGAAUCUCCCACAAAUAAUGAAGUACCUUGAGCCAAAUAUGGUUGAUCUAUUUAGUGGCCAAGAACACGGAUUGCAAGAGUUAAUAAAUCCGACUAUCCAACAUCAGGGGGAGAAAAGUAAUAAGCUGG